CUCUUGUAAUUUACCUGUUCUUGGGAUCAACCACAUUCCUUCUUGAACCCUAACGGGACUCUGCCUUGGAAUCCCCAUCGCAAGAUUUCACCUUUAAUCCUUUCCCGGGUUUCUCAAAUCUCACUUGCCGGUUUCCUUCGCUUCUCUCCAUCUCAACGUCCCUGUUCGAUUCCGCCGGGAAAGGUGAUUGGUGAUUUAUCGGAGAGCAAAUGCCCGAAGAGGAUCUGAUCGAGCUCAAGUUCCGGCUGUUCGAUGGGUCGGACAUCGGGCCGAUCCGCUACUCUUCUACGUCCACCGUCGCCAUGCUCAAAGACAGGAUAAUCUCCGAGUGGCCACGAGAUAAGAAGAUUAUACCAGAGGUGGCUAAUGAUGUCAAACUGAUAAGUGCGGGCAAAAUAUUAGAGAACAAUAUGACGGUUGCCCAGUGCGCAUCAUCACCUUUUAGUGAACUUCCAGCAGGUGUGAUCACCAUGCAUGUUGUUGUGCAACCAUCUUCGACUAAAACUAAAACGGAUAUGUUGGUGAUAAGCGGAAGAAGGAUCUUGUUGAAGCAUUUGUGUGACAGGAUAAGCUCAAACACUUGCAAUGAGGAUAAACUGGUGGUAGUCAACUGAUGCGUUCAUUCUUGUAGUCACUGUAUUCUUUGGGGAUGCAAGGCCAUCGAGAAGGAAGUAAAAGAAUUAGACAAUGGGUUUGAAAGCAGAAAAGGACUCCAUUGGAUGAAGAAAAGAGGAAAUGUGCCCUCAAAUAGAAAGAAGUUUGGUGCGAGUAAAUACUAUUAGCAAACUAGCAGACAAGUCCUUUUCUUGCUUCAACCACUGACAGAGAACCAAGUGAUGUGGUAGUACAUUGGUGGUGAGCAGAAGCUAAUGUUCUUCGAUGACCUAUCAUCUUCUAGCAGAAUAAUCUUGCAAUCGUGCCAUUGCUGAGCUUGGGAGCCCGAGAAGCACGUUGAUGCCCUUCCUCUUCCUCUCCUUCCCAUGGGACAGGAACAGGAUCACCUCCUUCUCAGGUAGAGUCACAGGCCCGGACUGCACUGGC